GACGAACGCUGGCGGCGUGCUUAACACAUGCAAGUCGAGCGGUAAGGCCCUUUCGGGGGUACACGAGCGGCGAACGGGUGAGUAACACGUGGGUGACCUGCCCUCAGCUCUGGGAUAAGCCUGGGAAACCGGGUCUAAUACUGGAUAUGACUCCAUGACGCAUGUUGUGGGGUGGAAAGCCUUGUGCGGCUGAGGAUGGGCCCGCGGCCGAUCAGCUUGUUGGUGGGGUGANGGCCUACCAAGGCGACGACGGGUAGCCGGCCUGAGAGGGCGACCGGCCACACUGGGACUGAGACACGGCCCAGACUCCUACGGGAGGCAGCAGUGGGGAAUCUUGCGCAAUGGGCGAAAGCCUGACGCAGCGACGCCGCGUGA
rnacentral:rRNA from 1 species